AGAAAUAAAGAAAUAGCAUAAUGUACAUGGCAUUUUGUUUACAAUAUAUUCGAUGAGCUGAGCUGAUUAUUUCUGGAUGUAAUGUGGUACAUGAGCAUUACCGUAAUUACUUUUGGCAAUGGCAUUAUCUUCUUCAGACUUAAGAAGUGUCCAUCCAGGGACCUACUCAAUCCACAAGAGUGAGCCAGUGAAGAGGAAUCAGAUUUAGGGACCCUGCUUCUAAAAAACUGGAAGAUGUAACCAUUAAAUAAGAAGAGGUUCUUUAAAGAGCUGGAGAGUUGCAGAAGAAAUGAGCUAGGUUGAUUUGGUUCAAUGAGCUACUGAUUUAAAGGGAAGCUGGUCUGCAUAAAAGAUAGGUUGAGGACAGGCAGGUGAAAUAACUGAACAGGUGAAGGGGCAGAGAAUGACAAUAGUUGGACAUACAUAUUAAACCUUUUCCUUAUUCUAAG